AAAUGAAUUGACGGGGACCCGCACAAGCAGCGGAGCAUGUGGUUUAAUUCGAAGCAACGCGAAGAACCUUACCAGGACUUGACAUCCUUCUGACAGGACCUUAAUCGGUCCCUCCUUCGGGCAGAAGUGACAGGUGGUGCAUGGUUGUCGUCAGCUCGUGUCGUGAGAUGUUGGGUUAAGUCCCGCAACGAGCGCAACCCUUGUCAUUAGUUGCCAUCAUUAAGUUGGGCACUCUAGUGAGACUGCCGGGGAUAACUCGGAGGAAGGUGGGGAUGACGUCAAAUCAUCAUGCCCCUUAUGUUCUGGGCUACACACGUGCUACAAUGGUCGGUACAGAGAGACGCGAGAUCGUGAGGUGGAGCAAAUCUUUUAAAACCGACCCCAGUUCGGAUUGUAGGCUGCAACUCGCCUACAUGAAGCCGGAGUUGCUAGUAAUCGCAGAUCAGAAUGCUGCGGUGAAUGCGUUCCCGGGUCUUGUACACACCGCCCGU
rnacentral:rRNA from 1 species